GUAGGUGGCAAGCGUUGUCCGGAAUUAUUGGGCGCAAAGCGCGCGCAGGUGGUUCUUUAAGUCUGAUGUGAAAGCCCCCGGCUCAACCGGGGAGGGUCAUUGGAAACUGGGGAACUUGAGUGCAGGAGAGGAAAGUGGAAUUCCACGUGUAGCGGUGAAAUGCGUAGAUAUGUGGAGGAACACCAGUGGCGAAGGCGACUUUCUGGCCUGUAACUGACACUGAGGCGCGAAAGCGUGGGGAGCAAACAGGGAUUAGAUACCCUGGUAGUCCACGCCGUAAACGAUGAGUGCUAAGUGUUGGGGGGGUUUCCGCCCCCUCAGUGCUGCAGCUAACGCAUUAAGCACUCCGCCUGGGAUACGGUCGCAAGACUG
rnacentral:rRNA from 1 species